AGCACUUGCUGCAGGCUGGCUCUUGUUGCAGAAACACUGAGAGGUCCAAUUAGAAAGUAUGGGACCAGGGGCUCCCAGCCUCUCAAUUUCCAGCAUCCUUGCACUUAGGUCCUGAAUCGACUCAUCACUUGAGAAGUGGGGUCCCCUGAGGUAAGGCUCAGAAGACCUUUGUUUCAGGGAAUGACUGUCUUCAAGACUAGAAGUCCCUAUCUGGAGUAUUCUGAUUGCUUAUUUUAUAAGCCAGGAGGGUUGAGGAAGACCUCUGUAUACAACUGUACCAGUAAAAUCUCUAUCAUGAGAAUCACUACCCUAUGUUCUCUGAAGCAGCCCAUUCUACAACCUUCCCCUUUCCCUCACGUUUACCAUCAAGGACAGGGGAGAGGGUUGUCUGAGCUUCAUAGAAAUAUUCUUCCCUCGGGAGAGCAGCAAGGAAGAAGGGAAGGAGGAAGAAGUCGGAGCUUGCAGCUGGAUGGAGACUUUAGGUAACUUACAAAGACAGAGAAGUUUUUUGUAUUAGGAGAUGGAAGGAAUUCUGAGGAAUGAGGAGGGGGGAGGCAAGGAGGGGGGGUGGCACUGGGGAGAGGCAGGGUUGACUCACCCUGGGGCUCAGGGUGAGCUGCUCAACCUGUCUCUGUCCCUCCAGGGGGUAGGGGAUUAAUAACUAUUUUCAGACCGUGCUUGGAGAUCAGGAGAAGAAAGUACCAGGGAGGGGUCACUCCCUGGAGCUGAAGAGGAGUUCCAACUCUGUCUCUCCAAGGGCAAAGGUGCCUGCCUGUCUGCUCCCUGGCACCCCUUUCAGGACGAUGACUCACUCCAGCCUCUUUUCCCUUUUCACUUUCCUUUCUUCUUACUCCCCAAUCUCCCUCCAGCCAGAGCAGAGGCCCAUAGCUACCUGGCACCAGCCCCCUCAUACAUAAGCUCUGAAACCAUAUUCUAUGGCUGGGGGGCCAGGCCUGUCAUUCUCUCAGCCCCAUGAUUUCCUCUGGGUUUGUGUUCUCUCCCACCCAAGCAGCUUAUUUUUAGACACAAAGGGAGAAAAAUAAAUUGAGAGCCACAAUGCUACCA
rnacentral:lncRNA from 1 species